rnacentral:rRNA from 1 species
ACGUAGGUGGCAAGCGUUGUCCGGAAUUAUUGGGCGUAAAGCGCGCGCAGGCGGCUUCUUAAGUCCAUCUUAAAAGUGCGGGGCUUAACCCCGUGAUGGGAUGGAAACUGGGAGGCUGGAGUAUCGGAGAGGAAAGCGGAAUUCCUAGUGUAGCGGUGAAAUGCGUAGAGAUUAGGAAGAACACCGGUGGCGAAGGCGACUUUCUGGACGACAACUGACGCUGAGGCGCGAAAGCGUGGGGAGCAAACAG